rnacentral:rRNA from 1 species
GUCUCAAAGAUUAAGCCAUGCAUGUCUAAGCAUAAGCAAUCUAUACGGUGAAACAGCGAAUGGCUCAUUAAAUCAGUUAUCGUUUAUUUGAUAGUACCUUACUACUUGGAUAACCGUGGUAAUUCUAGAGCUAAUACAUGCUAAAAACCCCGACUUCGGAAGGGGUGUAUUUAUUAGAUAAAAAACCAAUGC